rnacentral:rRNA from 1 species
AGUGAACGCUGGCGGUAGGCCUAACACAUGCAAGUCGAACGGCAGCACAGUAAGAGCUUGCUCUUACGGGUGGCGAGUGGCGGACGGGUGAGGAAUACAUCGGAAUCUACUUUUUCGUGGGGGAUAACGUAGGGAAACUUACGCUAAUACCGCAUACGACCUACGGGUGAAAGCAGGGGAUCUUCGGACCUUGCGCGAUUGAAUGAGCCGAUGUCGGAUUAGCUAGUUGGCGGGGUAAAGGCCCACCAAGGCGACGAUCCGUAGCUGGUCUGAGAGGAUGAUCAGCCACACUGGAACUGAGACACGGUCCAGACUCCUACGGGAGGCAGCAGUUGGGAAUAUUGGACAAUGGGCGCAAGCCUGAUCCAGCCAUACCGCGUGGGUGAAGAAGGCCUUCGGGUUGUAAAGCCCCUUUGUUGGGAAAGAAAAGCAGCAGGUUAAUACCCCGCUGUUCUGACGGUACCCAAAGAAUAAGCACCGGCUAACUUCGUG